CUAAACCCCCAAAUUUCCUGUUCUUCAAUCUGAAAAAAUGGAAGCAGCUAAACCAGUGUGUGGAAAAGAGGCAUUGGAUCUUCUCAAUUGCAUGGUUGAUUCUAAUUACGAUCUGGAGAAAUGCCUUCAUCUUUUGCAAUCUCUUCGACAAUGUGUCCUUUCCAAGUGAGGAAUGCAAAAGCAGUGUGCCCAGUAGCUCUUAUUGACAUGCACAAUUGCAGUGUUGAUGCGAAAAUCAAGAUGAGUCUUGAUGCAACAGUCAUGGAAAAAACCAGCUGAGAUUAAGAAGAAGCCAACUGAGAGGAAACCAGCCUCGUCAUCUGUAGCAGGUUCUGAGUCGAAGACAAAAAAGAGAAAUCUUAGCAAAGUGAAGGAUCCUAACAUGUUGCAGGACUCAAACAUGUUGCUCUUUGAGUUCUGCUCUUUGUUUUAUGUCUCAGGACUCAAACAUGUUGCAGGUCUGAUCUUUGUAGCUUGCUGCUCGGACCAGCAGGUUCUGGUGAUUUAGUCUCCUGGAGUUCUACAGAUGCAGUGUUGCAGCAGCUGGUCUGGGUGCUCAGAUCCGAAGUGUGCUUUGUUCUGGUCAGCAGUAGAAGGUUGUUGGGUGCUGGUUAUGGUUUGUGACACACUGGAGGAUAAUGCUUUAAUGUCUGGGAGCAUGGGUGACAGAGAACCCUGGUUAGUUGCCUCAAGGCUCCGAGAUCAUAUCCUUACUCCCAAAGAACGAAGAGAUCCUCUUCUAUGGAAGAUGGUUGUAGGCUCCAGGGGAUGGUGACAUCUCUCGUUAUCGAGCAUCAAUGCGUACUCAGUCUCCCAAUGUUGAGAUAAUUGAGGGUAUGUUCAAGCAUGUGGCUAGAACUAAUCAAGAUCAUGGCAUGAUCAGGUAUUCAAUAAUCCGAGGGAGCGGCCUUUCACCUUUGACGAGAUAGAUGAAGUUCGAGAAAUGUUGGCAAAAUUCAUUACCAAUGAUUGUCUUUGAUAUUUUCUUGUAAUGAACCUUAAAUUAUGUAUGCUAGCUAGUUUUUCAUAUAAUUGUAAUGUAAUCGACUUUUAUAUUUACAAUUAUAUACUAUUUAAUUUAAUUAUCUAUAUAAUUGGAUACUUUUUAUAUGACGUAUA